ensembl:lncRNA
AUCACGCAGCCGAAUUAAUGUCCGCGCGCCUCGCUCCUUCUGGAACUUUCUAUUUUAAAAAGAGACUGGAGGCCACCAUUACUGGAUACAUUUUGAGCGGGAAAUUAGAGGUAAGUUUGGUAAUUUUUUUUUUUAAUGCUUAAAAUAUUGCUGACAUCUAUUAAAAUACUGCGGUUGGACGAGUUAUAUUCUUACUAGUUUGUUGUGAUUAUUAAUAAAAGCUUGAAUGUAACACUGAAUAAACCGUUAGCUAGCUUAAACCCUCCGAUACACCACUAGCUAUUUUUUCUUUUAUGUUGUGUUUUUUUUUUUUUUUUUUUUUUUUUUUGGGGGGGGGGGGGGGGGGGGGCAGCAAAACUGUAGCUCCUUCAUUCACGGAGCUCUCUCUGUAGCUCUCACGCAGCGGCUGGUCGCGUGUUGGUGUCGGAGUUCGUAAAAGUUUGCUCUGCUGCCGUCCAGCUCGUUCGGCGGACUCCGGUCACGGUCGGCUCCCCUCCAGUAACGUCUACAGCCCGCUGUUUUCCAAGAUCACCAGGGAACCCGACCAUGUCUACCUGCCAAGGCUGAAGAAAGUGGACCAGAUGCUCCAAGCACUUAUUCAGGCAAAAGCUCCAGGUAUGAGGAAUGUGGGUCCGAAGUAGCUGUACACACUGGCAUCAGCAUUUUGUCUGUCACUGUAAAAAGGGUUUUUUGUUUAGUGAGGUACGAAACAAGGUUCUUCAUAUUGUUAGUAACAUUUGAUUUUUUAUUUCUUCUUUUUCUCAGAACCAUUCCAAGGAGCAUUUCUGUGAUCCGACUUCACACAGUGGCUUCAUUGGACUGAAACUAAGAAACUUCAGAAGAAAUAUAGAAGCAGGCCAAAGACGAUACAGACGAAAGGGAAAGCAAAAAAGUGUAGACGAGGAUAUAGACGAGGAUGUGAGCGAGUGUGUGACCAUGGGAGGAUGAAGCCAUCUCUAAACUUCACAACAAAUUAAAGAAGCCGUGGACAAUCUACAACACUGUCUGAGAUACUUUAUCAGUAUCAAUGUUUCAUCGACAUGCCAGAACUGGUGAGGACAUUAUUUAUGUAUAUGCUGACUAUUUUGUGUAAAUGUUCAUCAUAAAGCGUUGUUACAGAUCCUGUAUCUAAAUCAUGCCACUUUUGUUAACUAUUUUUAUUCAUGCAAAUAACUUCUUUCUCUCUACAAAGUUUAGUUUUAUUCAUAUUUUGAGGACAAGGCAGACACUUUUCUUCUUUUGUUGUCCGGUUUCUAGAGAAACAGUUAAUUUGAAUCUAUGAUACAAAAUUACUCAAGGCUAUGUUCAAAAUUCUUUUCUACUCACUAUAUAGUGCACUAUAUAGUGAGUGUUUGCCUUGUUUCUAGUGCUGUCCAAAUAUACAAUUCCAAAAUCGAGUGAUCUAGAAAUUUUCAGAAGUCUUUGUGAAAAACCAUUGUGCAUCAAUGCUCACUAGAUUACCACAUUACAUUGCGCCUGAUCAAAUUUUGCAGAAAAAAAAAGGUUUUUACAUGUAAUUUUUUUUUUAAUGAACCAUCAACAUUUUAAUAAUCAGAACACAGCAAACUCAUAAAUAAAUGUUGUUAAAGGCUUACAUUGAUUAGAUUUUCUGUUUGUGAAAUCUGUGACAUUUAAAGUUGUGUCUAAUUUAUUUUUUAAAUCCAGGUCCCUGGAUGGUCCCCCACUAUAUAGUUUAGUAGUAGUUAGGAAUUACGGUGGGAAUUCAGACAUAACUGAACUUAACUCAAAUGAAAUGUAAGAGUCCCGGUAUUAUUGGUAUUUUUGAGUUUAAAUUAAGGUGUUUUGUUGUUUUGUAAGUUUUAAACAUGGAACUAAUGUGUUUGAUUUUUAAUAAGUUUAAAGACAUG